ACACCAGCCAGGGCUCAAGAAAUGCUUGUCAGCUGAAUCUGCAGAGCCACGGAAAUCACGGCUUUAUGAGAGGAGAGGCAUAGCGAUGUCAAUCAACUUGUUGAAGGUCACCCGCAUACAGCUGAGUAUGGUAUUGGAGAUUUGAACCCAGACUCCUCUGUAACUAUUGUGUGUCCCGCCAGGAAGCCUGCCAGCGUCUCACCCGCGCACAACCGGGGCCAAGAUUGCCACCCUCUAUCGAAAUGGAGGAGGAGAACUGAUAAAACAUUCACACUUCGGUGGUGCUUGCCAAGACUUGAAGCAGGGAUGGUGACCUUGGUGUUCUCUCCAGAGCGUGGGCCUGGAGGGCUGUGUUGAGAGGGAGUCAGAGGCUGUCUGGGCUCCGUACUAAAGUGCUGUCUGCUGGCGGCACUGACUGGGAGUACGGUUGCUCUCCUAGCUUGAAGCGUUCCGCCUCCAGAGACAUCUGCUUCAGAACUGAGGACAGAGCCUUAAGUAAAAGGAUGCAUCUUGGCUGUUUGAGUUAGACAUCACGUAGCUGG
rnacentral:lncRNA from 1 species